rnacentral:rRNA from 1 species
GAUUGUUCACCCACCAAUAGGGAACGUGAGCUGGGUUUAGACCGUCAUGAGAUAGGUUAGUUUUUACCAUGCUGAUGACGGUGACGCAAUAGUAAUUCAACCUAGUACGAGAGGAACCGUUGAUUCACAUAAUUGGUCAUCACGCUUGGUUGAAAAGCCAGUGGUGCGAAGCUACCAUGCGGUAGAUUAUGAUUGAACGCUUCUAAGUCAAAAUUCGGGCUAGAAAUGACACAUGCGCCUGCUGCCCAAUUGCCAACCAGCAGUAGGGGCCGGCUGACCCCUAAAGGCGCGUGUCGUUGAUGAAGCCCACGCGGCACAUGAGCCGCACAGAUCGCCUUGAAGUACAAUUCCUAUCUCGAGCGACAGGUAAAAUCCUUUGCAGAUGGCUUAAAUACGUGACGAGGUAUUGUAAGUGGUAGAGUGGCCUUGCUACCAUGAUCCACUGAGAU